AGUGAACGCUGGCGGCGUGCCUAAUACAUGCAAGUCGAACGGAAUUUAAAAGAGCUUGCUCUUUUAAAUUUAGUGGCGCACGGGUGAGUAAUAUAUAGCUAAUCUGCCCCUUGCUGGAGGACAACAGUUAGAAAUGACUGCUAAUACUCCAUACUCCUUUUUACCAUAAGAUAAAUCGGGAAAGAAUUUCGGCAAGGGAUGAGACUAUAUCGUAUCAGCUAGUCGGUGGGGUAACGGCCUACCGAGGCUAUGACGCGUAACUGGUCUGAGAGGAUGAUCAGUCACAUUGGAACUGAGACACGGUCCAAACUCCUACGGGAGGCAGCAGUAGGGAAUAUUGCGCAAUGGGGGAAACCCUGACGCAGCAACGCCGCGUGGAGGAUGACACUUUUCGGAGCGUAAACUCCUUUUGUUAGGGAAGAAUAAUGACGGUACCUAAC
rnacentral:rRNA from 1 species